rnacentral:rRNA from 1 species
AUGGGACAAUAUUUCUUGGGUAUGCAGAGCAACCAGCGUAGUGAGAGUCUGAACUCUAGGGUCCACAAUCAGCUGGACCGGAAAAUGUCCUUGGUUGAUGUGGUGGAGCACACUGAGCACUGCAUAUCACGUAUGCGGAGGAACGAGGCCGAGUUGGAUGCAAUAUGUUCGCAGUCAGUUCCUUUCACUAGAAUAGAUGCUUGUCUGUUGGAGAUAAAUGCUGCUCGUAUUUAUAAACCAAAAAAAUUUCAAGAUGGUAAGAGAUUGUAUCCGGAGAUCAUGUGCAUGGGUGAUUCAAGAGCAAACAACAGUAAAUGA